rnacentral:rRNA from 1 species
GAUGAACGCUGGCGGCGUGCCUAAUACAUGCAAGUCGAGCGAACAGAUGAGGAGCUUGCUCCUCUGACGUUAGCGGCGGACGGGUGAGUAACACGUGGAUAACCUACCUAUAAGACUGGGAUAACUUCGGGAAACCGGAGCUAAUACCGGAUAAUAUAUUGAACCGCAUGGUUCAAUAGUGAAAGACGGUUUUGCUGUCACUUAUAGAUGGAUCCGCGCCGCAUUAGCUAGUUGGUAAGGUAACGGCUUACAAGGCAACGAUGCGUAGCCGACCUGAGAGGGUGAUCGGCCACACUGGAACUGAGACACGGUCCAGACUCCUACGGGAGGCAGCAGUAGGGAAUCUUCCGCAAUGGGCGAAAGCCUGACGGAGCAACGCCGCGUGAGUGAUGAAGGUCUUCGGAUCGUAAAACUCUGUUAUUAGGGAAGAACAAAUGUGUAAGUAACUAUGCACGUCUUGACGGUACCUAAUCAGAAAGCCACGGCUAACUACGUG